CCUCGGAACCCAAGGCCCGUCUCCUCGCUCUCUCUCUAGCAUGCUCUAGUUUUCCACUUCCUCUAACCUUUUGCAAAGCACUGCAGCGUUAUCAACAAUUAUAUAUAUUUUACCAUUGAUGAGUCCGAUCUCAUUUUUUGUUUUGCAGUUGUUUGUUUAAUUUGUUGGAGAUCCAAUAGUGAAACCUUUCUCGAGAAACACCAAACUUGAGAACCAUUCUGAGGAACCACUGAAGGUUGUUGUGGAAGUGGAAUAUGGCGACUUUCCAGGCAAAGUACUUCUAACAAUCCCACCGGGUGAGCACAAUUACAUGCGCUACGCCGAUUUGAGGAUUGAAUACAAUGGUGGUCGUCUAGUAAAAGUGCAUUUUUACUUCGGAGAUCGGCAGACGGAACCGAUAUCGACAUCGCAGAUAAGGGAUCAUGCGAAAAUCAGAUUCUUUAAACGCGAGGAUGGAGCCAUCGCCUACAAUCUUAUCGAAGGGAGUAUGAUCCAGAUGAACGGGAUAGUUAUCUCGAUGAAAGGCACGGUGAAAAAGAUCAAGUCACUACUGAUGUAGUGUUAGGGACCUCACCAAUGGCACGAUGGAGGCCGGCGAGGGAGCUCUAGAAGAUCUGGGUUGCUGCGAAGAGAAGGAAACCUGGUAAGGGAUCGAACUGAAGUGAAGUGAUCUGGAAGUGAAGCCUUGUGAAACUAGCCACGACGUCAUUGAGAGUUCAAGGGACAGAACGCACCGUUUGAAGACGCUUGAGUAGCGUUUGAAGACGCUGGAGUAGCUUGAAGACCUGCGAAUUAAACACUACGUUUCAUUUAUAUGAAAAAUUUGGGUGCUGUGACCCUUCCUUUGAGAGUAGAGCUAGAAACGGUCGGGUGUCUAACUCAUAUUCACACCGGCCAAUAGGAACACAGCAUGUGACAGGUGUAUUUGUCUUACACACAUCUUAUUGUAAAAAACCUUGAGAUUUUCCCUUGUCGCUCCUGAUUCUUCCUAUCUUUUGAUUAUCCUCUCCCCGAUUCUACCUCUCUUUUUUCGUUCUGCUUUUCUAUUUUUUUUUCCUGCUUUUCUGUUUCUUUUUUUUUUUCUUCUUUUUCAUUCGGUUCUUCCGAUUCCACACGUUUAAAGAUCUAAUCCAUUUUCUGGACCAUCAAAAUCUUAUACAUUUUCUAGACCCUUCCGAUUCUACCUCUCUUUUUUCGUUCUGCUUUUCUGUUUCUUCUUUUUUGUUCUUUUUCAUUCGGUUCUUCCGAUUCCACACGUUUAAAGAUCUAAUCCAUUUUCUGGACAAUCAAAAUCUUAUACAUUUUCUAGACCCUUCCGAGUCCCUCCUCCAUUGAAACACAUACGUACGAUGCAUAAUUUGUUCAAAAGUCUUAUAAUUGUCAAAAUGUCUUAUAAUUGUCAUUUUCUUUAAUUAGAUAAUUGA